AGACAGACAGACAGGUAGAAACUAGGCAGACUGGCCUAAAGAUAGAUCAUUACACAGAUAAAUAGACAGACAGACAGACAGACAGACAGGUAAAAAACAAGAAAGUCUGACCUAAAGAUAGAUCAUUAGACAGAUAAAUAGACAGACAGAUAGAAACAAGACAGACUGGCCUAAAGAUAGAUCAUUAGACAGAUAAAUAGACAGACAGACAGACAGACAGACAGACAGGUAAAAAACAAGACAGUCUGACCUAAAGAUAGAUCAUUACACAGAUAAAUAGACAGACAGACAGACAGACAGACAGGUAAAAAACAAGAAAGUCUGACCUAAAGAUAGAUCAUUAGACAGAUAAAUAGACAGACAGACAGUUAAACCGAAGAUAGAUAAACCAAUUAUUAUAGACUGAUCAAUAGACAGACAGACAGACAGACAGACAGACAGACAGACAGAUAGAUAGAUAGAUGGUCUCUUAUCCUCCUGACAGACAGAAAGACAGGUAAUGAGAUAGACUGAUUAAUUGAUAAACUGAUUGAUAGUCUGAUCAAUAGACAGACAGAGAGAUCGAAAUACUGUAGUAAUAGUAUUUUGAUGUAGUAUAAUACAAUAUUAAUAAUAUAUUGUCUAGUCUUUUAUCCUCCUUACAGACAGACAGGUUGACAGACAGACGGAUGUAUAGAUAAACAAAAGGGUAGACAUAUAGAUAGACUUACAGACAGACAGUACUACAGUAAUCCUACAGUAACAGUAUUUUGGAAUAGUAAUAGUAUAACAGUAGUACUAUAGUGUUUAGUCUCUUAUCCUCCUGAAUGUAGUAAAUCUGUUUCGUGUGAU